rnacentral:rRNA from 1 species
AUUGUACGCUGGCGGCAUGCUUUACACAUGCAAGUCGAACGGUAACAGGGCGCUUGCACCGCUGACGAGUGGCGAACGGGUGAGUAAUGCGUCGGAACGUGCCGAGUAGUGGGGGAUAACGCAGCGAAAGUUGUGCUAAUACCGCAUACGUACUGAGGUAGAAAGUGGGGGACCUUCGGGCCUCACGCUAUUCGAGCGGCCGACGUCUGAUUAGCUAGUAGGUGAGGUAAAGGCUCACCUAGGCGACGAUCAGUAGCGGGUCUGAGAGGAUGAUCCGCCACACUGGGACUGAGACACGGCCCAGACUCCUACGGGAGGCAGCAGUGGGGAAUGUUGGACAAUGGGCGAAAGCCUGAUCCAGCCAUGCCGCGUGUCUGAAGAAGGCCUUCGGGUUGUAAAGGACUUUUGUCAGGGAGGAAAUCCCUAGUGCUAAUAACACUGGGGGAUGACAGUACCUGAAGAAUAAGCACCGGCUAACUACGUGCCAGCAGCCGCCGUAA